CCCGAGAAGGAGCCGGGCCGGGGCCCCCCGGGCCCCCCCGAGCCCCCCAGCCCCCCCCCGGAGCCCCCCAGCACCAAGCGGCGCCGGCGCCAGGGCCGCGAGGACAAGGAGCCCCGGGGGGGCGGCGGUGGGGGGGGGCGGCGGGGGGCACCCGCCCUCCUGCCCCCCGACGACUUCCCCCCGCAGCUCAAGGGGGAGGAGGAGCUGUGCCCCCCGCCCGGGCUGCCCCCCGCCUGGCCCCCCCCCAGCCCCCCCGAGAAGCUGCUCCGCUUCCCCAAGUUCUCCAGCCCCGGCGGCUGCGGCGACUUCGACUGAGCCGGACCCAGGGGGGGCCCACGGGGACCCCCCCACACCUGCGACGGACCUGGGGGGGGAUGCGGGGCCCCCCCCACGGAGCCUGUGACAAACCUGGGGGCACCGAUCCCCCCCCAGCACCCUGGGACCCCCCCGGGGAACCUGGGCUGGGCUGGGGGGGGCACAGGGACCCUCCAGGCACCAUGGGGCCCCCCCACACCCUGGGACCCCCCCCCCAGGAGCCUGGGACGGACCUGGGGGGGAUACAGGGACCCCCCCAACACCGUGGGGCCCCCCCCCUGUCCCAGACCCCCCCAUCACCGCUCCGGGUUCAAUAAACAGACGUUUCCCAGGA